rnacentral:rRNA from 1 species
AGACGUCUACAUUAGAUACCCUGUAGUCCAGGGUGUAAACGCUGCAGACUUGGUGUUGGGAACCCUUCGGGGGUGCUCAGUGCCGGAGAGAAGUUGUUAAGUCUGCUACUUGGGGAGUACGUCCGCAAGGAUGAAACUUAAAGGAAUUGGCGGGGGAGCACAACAACGGGUGGAGCCUGCGGUUUAAUUGGACUCAACGCCGGACAACUCACCGGGAACGACAGCAAUAUGUAGGCCAGGCUGAAGACCUUGCCUGAAUCGCUG